rnacentral:rRNA from 1 species
GAUGAACGCUAGCUACAGGCUUAACACAUGCAAGUCGAGGGGAAACGGCAUCGAAAGCUUGCUUUUGAUGGGCGUCGACCAGCGCACGGGUGAGUAACGCGUAUCCAACCUGCCCAUCACUUGGGAAUAACCUUGCGAAAGUAAGACUAAUGCCCAAUGACAUCCCACGAAGGCAUCCGAAUGGGAUUAAAGAUUUAUCGGUGAUGGAUGGGGAUGCGUCUGAUUAGCUUGUUGGCGGGGUGACGGCCCACCAAGGCAACGAUCAGUAGGGGUUCUGAGAGGAAGGUCCCCCACAUUAGAACUGAGACACGGUCCAAACACCUACGGGAGGCAGCAGUGAGGAAUAUUGGUCAAUGGGCGAGAGCCUGAACCAGCCAAGUAGCGUGCAGGAUGACGGCCCUAUGGGUUGUAAACUGCUUUUAUAAGGGAAUAAAGUGGGUCACGUGUGACUUUUUGCAUGUACCUUAUGAAUAAGGACCGGCUAAUUCCGUG